UCGACGGCCGCAUCCAUAUUGGAUUUGCUGUCUCAACCUAACUUUGGAUCAACCUAGUAACAGCAGUAAGGCGGGACUGUGGGCGGGACCAAAGUUCGCCGACCGACCGACGCGACCGACGAGCUUGACGCUAGCAGCCUAGCAGGCUACUUCACAGCAUAGCUAACAACUGCUCUAUCUGCUACUGCUGUCCUGCUCCCACUCGUCCAUAACUAUAAACAAAUCCUCUGAAGUCAUGGAGUCUGUGGACAGUGAUGGAGUGUCAGCUUCACCCGCCAAAACCUACACCGUGUGGAUUAUUGGUGACAGCUGUGUCCGUCGAGGUGCCCAGAGAGCUGCAGAGACAGAGGGAAGGAACCUGGGCCUGAAGAACGUCCACAUGAGUUGGUUCGGCUGGGGUGGACUUCGCUGGAAAGGCCUCCUUCCCUUCUUUGAAAACUCACUCCGAGGGAGGUCUCCCCCGGAUGGC